rnacentral:rRNA from 1 species
UGCGUAGGUGGUUGGUUAAGUUUGAGGUGAAAGCUCUGAGCUCAACUCGGAAAAUGCCUUGAAGACUAUCUGACUAGAGGAUUGGAGGGGAGAUUGGAAUUCUCGGUGUAGCAGUGAAAUGCGUAGAUAUCGAGAGGAACACCAGUGGCGAAGGCGAAUCUCUGGACAAUUCCUGACACUGAGGCACGAAAGCCAAGGGAGCAAACG